UCAUGGCCGACACUUCUGAGCCCUUGA
rnacentral:sRNA from 1 species